GAUCAACUUCGUGUGUAAUGAAGGUUAUCGAUUUAAUACAAAUUUGAAUAUGAAAAAUUAAAGAAUUGGAAUUGGGGUCACUGAGAAGCUGACAGUGAGAUGAUGUCAAGCACGUAAACUAAAUGGACAUGUUAGAGUGAGGACUGGUGUGGACACCACGGGCAUAACGGGAGAAAUGAACACAUUGCAUGAAAUAAGCAGCAAUGACAACAGCAACACAUGCACACGCACACACGAAAGAUGAGACUUCUGCCUUUUGCUUCCAAGCUGUUCAUAUGGUGAUCAUUUAGCCAUUUCUUCCAUAAACUUCCUUUUAUCCUGUGGCUGAACUGACUGGCUUCACUUCGAGAUCAGGUUUGUUGAUAUUUGAGCAGUUAAGUAAUUCUUUGGCUGUCCUCUCCCUGAGGCCUUUGCUCAAUCAUCCCAAAGCCAG
rnacentral:lncRNA from 1 species